rnacentral:sRNA from 1 species
GAGAGUGCAGGCGCUGAGGACAGCGACGAUCCCGAGACGAGACCCAACGGCGAGAAAGGAGAGAGCAAGAAAUGCCACGGACUACAAGGUGAUGAAUACCACUAUGAGCUCACUACAAGAUCUCAAAAGAUUUCAAGCACUGGCUGUUCCAAAGCAUAAAGCCACCCUUCUGGAGCAGCGGCAGGAGGCAGGCUGGGACGAGGCCCCGAGUUUUGGCCAGAUGGACCGCCUCCUUAGGUGUCCGGGCAGCUGCUGAAACAUAGUGAGGAAGAUGCUGCUGAUCCAAAGGAUAAAAACACAGAAACUAAAACCAAGAAGCACCUAAAGUGGACUCACACCCAGCAUCCUGCAGACUGACUUUCUCUGAGCUAUAGUUCUGCAUUGGACUGUUUUUCCUUUGCUAUCACCUGCCCAACACACAAUCCUGGAUGCUUUUGACUGGUU